GUGGCAUCAACCUACCAUUCUCUCUGCUCUGAAAGUGGCUCCACUGAAAUCCUUCUGUUGGAGUGAGUGAGUCAUACAUCAAACUUAAUCAUUGGGCCUCAGAAAAUGGACAAGAACUGUAAAACACAUACGACGGGAAUGAUUUGACCUCACUAAUUACGAGGAGGAAGCUCGGCGCAGGUGUCUUCCUGUAGUUAACGGCAAUACUCCUGAGAACUGAGUGCACUGCAAGUUACAGUGUGUUUCUACUCAAAAGACAGUUCACCUUGUGCACCUGUGUCCUGACUCUGCUGGAAAAAAAGAAAACACAAGCUGUGGAGUAGCAACCAUGGCAAGAGGAAAGCCAGAUGUUUAUUUCAACUCUAUGGACCAACUGUUACGAGGUCAUUUUUCUUGCCUGGGGUUGAUCUUCUUAUCUGCUAAAUGAAAUCAAAGAUCCAGAUAUGCUGCCUAGUGGAAGAGCUUGCUUAGGAAGGAAGCCAAAUUGAGUGGUGUCUUCUCUCCACUUUCUCCAGUACUAGAUUAAUGGAUAACAUGGCAGCGAAAUAGCAAUUGGAAUGAAGAAAUCUCGUUCAAUAGGGAAGGAGUAGUUUUCUCUUGUUUUGGGUGAUGGAUGGAAGAGUAAAAUGAACCAACUCGUGGAAUGUGAUUCCUUCCUCUUUGAGCUGUCUCCACAAUGGAGGAGAGACUCAGAACAACACUGCUCUGACCAAGAUUUACAAACAAAAAGUUACACUUCGUUACAAGGUUGAACACUGUGAAGUGUUGUUCUGGAGAAAGCGGUUUUUAAUCUGGCUGAACAGGGACAGGGCAGCUUGUUCCACAAGGUUUGGCUGGGCUCAGUCUCCGUUCAUUCUGUGUUUCCCGUGAGUCAGGCACUUUGUCAAGUCAAGGGGAUAAAGAUGAAUGAGAAAUAUCCGUGCUCAAGAGGCAAAUUGUUUCAUCAAAGAAUUGGAACUAGCCACGGCAACGUCUCCAGCAAAUGGAACCAUGUGGUAUGGGUGCUAAGGUGCCGGGUGCACCAGGAUGAAAAGCCCCCCAUCUGGAGGGGCAUCCAAAGAGGGCCGCAGGACUCUCUGGAGGAGGAAAGCUGAGCCACGACUUGAAGCUGAGGAGUAGGUUAAGGCUUAGAGGAAGAGAGCACAAUGGCAAAGACACAGAGCCAAGAACCACAACCUGUGCGAAACUUAUGACCUAAUGAGGGAGAGAGAGAAGUGAAACAAUGAUUACAAUAUAUUUAAAAUUAUAAUACAUUUAUACUAGGGCACUGAAGGAUCUCAGAGAAGUAACUCUGACAUAACAGAUGUUUUCAAAUAUUCUACAUACUAUCUCAUUUAAUAAGUAAACAUUAUUAUAUCAUCAUGGCAAUUGGCAUUUGCUUAAGCAAAUAACAUAGACAAUUGUCAUUAUUUAAAUGAAAAAGAAUUAAAUGUUGAUAACGGUUGAAAUAAAUGUUCAUCUAGAGGUGACCUAUAUGCUAAAGUUUCAAACUUACUUGCUUCUUUGCAACUCAGACAAACGCCUGCUUGCACACAUGCCUAGGAGAUUUAUCUUUGUCACCAAUGUCCCAUCAGACAUUUGAGGAGUUUCAUCAAUGUCAGCCAAGAACCAUUUGUAACAUUGAAUGAGUACAACUUUGAAGCUAUACCUCAUGUAAUUCAGUUUUUGCCGAGCUGGAAAUGUGCACAGGAUAGAUGGCAGAGCUCUAUUAUGGGAUGAACAGGGUGACUGCAAACAGGGCAGGAAAGAAAUUCUCUGAGGACGUCUGGAAGCCAAUUGCCUGCAAUGCAGCACAGCUCUCGGCUGCUAUGAAACAAACGAGGCCAACAAAUCAACCUCAGGAAGAUUAGCCCUGAGCUAACAUCUGCUGCCAAUCCUCCUCUUUUUGCUGAGGAAGACUGGCCCUGAGCUAACAUCCAUGCCCAUCUUCCUCUACUUUAUACGUGGGACGCCUACCACAGCAUGGCUUGCCAAGUGGUGCCAUGUCCACACCUGGGAUCCGAACCUGCGAACCCCACCCCUGGGCCACUGAAGCAGAACAUGUGCACUUAACCGCUGUGCCACUGGGCCGGCCCUGUCAAGAUCUUUAAAACUAUAGAAAUAUCUCCUGGGGUUUCUUUCAUUAAACAAAUAAUAAAACAUUGUGAUGUAAUUAGCACCAUACUUGACGAGUUCCUGUUUGACUUCUCGCUCACUGUGCUUCAUUGGGCUCUUCUUUGAGUGGACCCCCAUACAGACUGAUGAGGUCACAGCAGAAGCAACUCAAAAGCAAUUCUGCAGAGGGCUAUCAUGGUGUCAGUGAGGUUCCGAGAUCUUUACUGAUCCUUUGUCGAUCCACUGCCUUUUUUGUUAAGAAAUAUCUGGAAGAAUGAAUAGACCAGAUAUCCUCUGAGAAAACUGUCUUGAAUAAAAACUUUUCUUGACUGAAUUCUGAAGGCUCAUAGGUCACAUUUGUACAUUUUCAUGCUGCCUUGGCAGAAAUUGGGGCAUGAGCAUAAUUGCUCUGUCUUCAUGGAAGCUGAGGAACUCACCAAGGACACAGCCUAGUUAGAAAAUCAUCCCAUAUUUGUUUGAGAUGAUCUGAUAACUAGUCUUCUAACUAGGCCAGGAUCCUGCUUAAAUGCUUAUUUUCAAUUUGCUUUAGUGAAUAGCUAAAUAGGUGGCAAAGGUCCAAAGAUUUUAGUCUAUAUGGCAUGGAUAAAAUAGUUUUAGCUUGAAAACACUUCAAAA
ensembl:lncRNA